rnacentral:rRNA from 1 species
UCGGGAAUUUUGGGCAAUGGGCGAAAGCCUGACCCAGCAACGCCGCGUGAAGGAUGAAGUAUUUCGGUAUGUAAACUUCGUAAGAAUAGGAAGAAUAAAUGACGGUACUAUUUGUAAGGUCCGGCUAACUACGUGCCAGCAGCCGCGGUAAUACGUAGGGACCAAGCGUUGUUCGGAUUUACUGGGCGUAAAGGGCGCGUAGGCGGCGUGGUAAGUCAUCUGUGAAAUCUCCGAGCUUAACUCGGAACGGUCAGAUGAUACUGCUGUGCUAGAGUACAGAAGGGGCAAUCGGAAUUCUUGGUGUAGCGGUGAAAUGCGUAGAUAUCAAGAGGAACACCUGAGGUGAAGACGGGUUGCUGGGCUGAUACUGACGCUGAGGCGCGAAAGCUAGGGUAGCAAACGGGAUUAGAUACCCAUGUAGUCCCUGAGCGGGCUGGCAAGGCGCAU